AUCCCACAGAGCAGCAAAUGUUUCUUUAACUCUACUGUACAAACACGUUGAAAGCAUUUUUGCACCAAGUGUCAUUUUUAAACCACAUGCUGGGUGAGUUAGAGGGGGUGGGGGGCAUUCCUGACUAAUUGCAUGUGCCCUACAUCCUGCUCUGCUCCUUUCCCAGCAUGCACGAGUGUGUAAAUGAAUUUGCUUCAUGGUGUAGAAUAGUUUGGAAAAUUGCCACCAUGACAUGCAUAUGAAGGGGACCCUGCAGCAAAGGGUCAGGGCAGGGGUCACAUAUUGUGUUACAUAAAUCCAAAGUCAGGGUCAUAACACCAGCUGUGUGUCCAGUUAUUAUACAUGCAUAAAAGUUUUUUUUCACUAUUUUUCUAUAGACAGAAAAAGCAGCUCAGUAUUGAUUCCAUCUUUACCAACGUUAUGAGAGUGUUGUUUUUUAGCCUGCAGGAAAGAAAAUCCUUCAGAGAUGAAACACAGUAAAGGAUCUGAAACUCUUCCAGCAGCAGUGUGUUUGAACAGAUCUGACUCUAACGCACGUAGAAGUCACACAAAAAGGUAAAUGUGAGUAGAAAUAUUGCAAAAUAUAAAUAGUUGCCCUGUGUCAUCAUGACAUUUCCAGAUUCUCAUUUCAUUCACGUAUACUGAGGAUUGAGCAAACAUCAAGACUUCAAGGUUUACAUAUAAACAAUUCAUUAAAAUGGACAAAAGUGUAAAUUUUUUCUGAAAAUUUCUGCACUGAGUCUCUUAUCAGGAAGCUAUACAGCACUCUACAGCUGUUAUCCAACACACUAACAGCUAGGACAUUUAUUUGCUGCUUAAAGGAGACAUAUAUGACAUAUUUCCUAAGGUAUGAAAGUUCUACGGUCCAUAAAAAGCACAAUUUCAUGAAAUUCUUUCCACUAAAUCCCUCUCACAUAAAGCUAAUUCCGCAUUUUUAUUCCUGACAUUUUCAGUACCUUCCAGAAUGAGCUGUUCCCAGGUUCUGUCACUUUAAGAAAACAAGCUGGAGCUGGCCACGCCUCCCUCUACCCCAUUUAGUUUGCUAUAAAGCUCCGGGAGUUGACAUCACUUCUCCCGGAAUGCAACUGUUCAAAUCGAAGCGGCGCCAUCUUGGCAGGCAGAAGUCCGCAGCUGGGCUAUUAUUUAUUGUCAGAAAACUCAAACGGGAAAUAUGGUAGAUUCCUGUUGUGCCCCAGGAUGCCAGAACAGAUAGGGACGACAUAAGAGUGAGCCAUCUACAGGAUUCCCCAAGAUCCGGAACGCCGCAAACGUUGGAUCAUUGUAAUGAAACGCGCUAGUGGCCGGGCUAAAAUGAAACUGUGGGAUCCCGAGAGUAAAGGUUUUCGCUUAUGCAGCGACCGCUUCAUAUCAGGUACUUAAACCAACAUUUCCUCAACUGUGUAUGGUAUUUAUUUUAAAUGCUUUUAUUCUGGGACGUAAUUUUGGGGGGGGACGGGUGGGACAUGUCCCCCCCCCACUUUUUCAAAAGGCAGUUUUGGUCCCCUGCACUUUUUUCCAUCCCAAAACAAUAUUCCGCUCCAUUAAAUGGAUUUAGUUGAGCACUAGGACCGAAACGGAAACCGGUUUCCUAUUAGACCCGCCCAAAAGCUAAUCUAUUGGCUCUGUUGAUACUUGCUAACGUAUUAUUGGCUGUUGCUGCUGUCACUCCAAGUUGUAAACAGUCAGAACGUGCUCACGUUGUUUUGCUAGUUUGGAGCCGCUAGGGAACACCGGUACUGAGUCACAUCGUCAACUAGACGCUGUGUAAUAUCAGAGCUCAGCUCAGCUUCCAUUACAUAACAUUUGAACAACUGUUCGGCAGCAUGUCAAGAAAACGAAAAGUGGAUAUAAGAGACUUCUUUCAAAGUCAAAACGUGACCGACAGAGAUGCAGGAGGAGAGACCGGUGAAGGUACAGCAGGGGAGGCUGUAGGAGAUGGAGGACGAGAGCCUGGAGGAGAUGCAGCAGAGGCUGGAGGCUCACAGGUGAGGUUGAAAUAAUGAAGAUACGAUAGACAUAAAAUUGAUCAUUGUGACAAAUGUUAGGGUGAUGAUCAUGUGUAAAACAUUAGUUCAGCAUGUCCUCUAACACAGCAAAUGAACAAACGGACAGAUCUCAGGAGGGACCGUUUAUGUAUAAAUAAUUUUUAUACUUUUGACUAUAGGCCUGGGAAAGUAACAAAUUUUGCUGGACGAUAUAUUGUCCAACAAAUUGUUGAUGAUAAACGAUAUCAUUGUCAACUAGGGCUAGGCGAUAUGGCAAAAAUAGAAUAUCACGAUUUUUCGAAUAUUUUAUCACGAUUUCGAUUUUAUCACGAUUUUUUAUCCAUGAAUAGCACAACUUCAAUUGCGUAUUAAAGAAGAGAAACAUUGAAUAAAUAAACAUUUAUUCAUAUUAGGGAUAAUCAGCACAGUGCUAACACACUUAUAUUUUAAACUCACACCAGAGAUGAUAAAAGCCCUGAGAGAAACAAUUACAAAAAUCAGUUUUUCUCGUUUUUCAAGUAACUUAACAUAAAUUCAAAUCGUAAACAUAUUUAAAGUGCAAACAUGUCAAUUGCAAACGUAUUGUGCAAACAUUAACUUGUUCAAAAUACUAUGUAGCUCCCAGUUGCUCAUGUAGUGGAUAGUUAA